rnacentral:rRNA from 1 species
GUUAAGCGACUAAGCGUACACGGUGGAUGCCCUGGCAGUCAGAGGCGAUGAAGGGCGUGCUAAUCUGCGAUAAGCGCCGGUAAGGUGAUAUGAACCGUUAUAACCGGCGAUACCCGAAUGGGGAAACCCAGUGUGAUUCGUCACACUAUCAUUAACUGAAUCCAUAGGUUAAUGAGGCGAACCGGGGGAACUGAAACAUCUAAGUACCCCGAGGAAAAGAAAUCAACCGAGAUUCCCCCAGUAGCGGCGAGCGAACGGGGAGGAGCCCAGAGCCUGAAUCAGCAUGUGUGUUAGUGGAAGCGUCUGGAAAGGCGCGCGAUACAGGGUGACAGCCCCGUACACAAAAGCGCAUGUGCUGUGAGCUCGAUGAGUAGGGCGGGACACGUGGUAUCCUGUCUGAAUAUGGGGGGACCAUCCUCCAAGGCUAAAUACUCCUGACUGACCGAUAGUGAACCAGUACCGUGAGGGAAAGGCGAAAAGAACCCCGGCGAGGGGAGUGAAAAAGAACCUGAAACCGUGUACGUACAAGCAGUGGGAGCACAGGUUUACCUGUGUGACUGCGUACCUUUUGUAUAAUGGGUCAGCGACUUAUAUUCUGUAGCAAGGUUAACCGUAUAGGGGAGCCGGAGGGAAACCGAGUCUUAACCGGGCGUUAAGUUGCAGGGUAUAGACCCGAAACCCGGUGAUCUAGCCAUGGGCAGGUUGAAGGUUGGGUAACACUAACUGGAGGACCGAACCGACUAAUGUUGAAAAAUUAGCGGAUGACCUGUGGCUGGGGGUGAAAGGCCAAUCAAACCGGGAGAUAGCUGGUUCUCCCCGAAAGCUAUUUAGGUAGCGCCUCGUGAAUUCAUCUCCGGGGGUAGAGCACUGUUUCGGCUAGGGGGCCAUCCCGGCUUACCAACCCGAUGCAAACUGCGAAUACCGGAGAAUGUUAUCACGGGAGACACACGGCGGGUGCUAACGUCCGUCGUGAAGAGGGAAACAACCCAGACCGCCAGCUAAGGUCCCAAAGUCAUGGUUAAGUGGGAAACGAUGUGGGAAGGCCCAGACAGCCAGGAUGUUGGCUUAGAAGCAGCCAUCAUUUAAAGAAAGCGUAAUAGCUCACUGGUCGAGUCGGCCUGCGCGGAAGAUGUAACGGGGCUAAACCAUGCACCGAAGCUGCGGCAGCGACGUUUAUGCGUUGUUGGGUAGGGGAGCGUUCUGUAAGCCUGCGAAGGUGGCCUGUGAGGGUUGCUGGAGGUAUCAGAAGUGCGAAUGCUGACAUAAGUAACGAUAAAGCGGGUGAAAAGCCCGCUCGCCGGAAGACCAAGGGUUCCUGUCCAACGUUAAUCGGGGCAGGGUGAGUCGACCCCUAAGGCGAGGCCGAAAGGCGUAGUCGAUGGGAAACGGGUUAAUAUUCCCGUACUUGGUGUUACUGCGAAGGGGGGACGGAGAAGGCUAUGUUGGCCGGGCGACGGUUGUCCCGGUUUAAGCGUGUAGGCUGGUUUUCCAGGCAAAUCCGGAAAAUCAAGGCUGAGGCGUGACGACGAGGCACUACGGUGCUGAAGCAACAAAUGCCCUGCUUCCAGGAAAAGCCUCUAAGCAUCAGGUAACAUCAAAUCGUACCCCAAACCGACACAGGUGGUCAGGUAGAGAAUACCAAGGCGCUUGAGAGAACUCGGGUGAAGGAACUAGGCAAAAUGGUGCCGUAACUUCGGGAGAAGGCACGCUGACACGUAGGUGAAGUGAUUUACUCAUGGAGCUGAAGUCAGUCGAAGAUACCAGCUGGCUGCAACUGUUUAUUAAAAACACAGCACUGUGCAAACACGAAAGUGGACGUAUACGGUGUGACGCCUGCCCGGUGCCGGAAGGUUAAUUGAUGGGGUCAGCGCAAGCGAAGCUCCUGAUCGAAGCCCCGGUAAACGGCGGCCGUAACUAUAACGGUCCUAAGGUAGCGAAAUUCCUUGUCGGGUAAGUUCCGACCUGCACGAAUGGCGUAAUGAUGGCCAGGCUGUCUCCACCCGAGACUCAGUGAAAUUGAACUCGCUGUGAAGAUGCAGUGUACCCGCGGCAAGACGGAAAGACCCCGUGAACCUUUACUAUAGCUUGACACUGAACAUUGAGCCUUGAUGUGUAGGAUAGGUGG